AUUAUAUAUUAAAUACUCUCAAACGCAAGGAUUACUUACCCUAACUCACUCACAUAAAAAUUGAAAAGUCAUCACACGUGUACAUCUCUCUAUUAGUUAGAAAAAGAAAAAAAAAAUUACACAAUCAAAACAACUCAAUGUUUUUGCUCAUGAUUUCUGCUCCUCCUAGUUUUGGGAUUCUUUUCUGAUUUUGGGUAUCAUUGCUUCUUCUUCUUCCUCUUUUGGGCAGAAUCAAAUGUAGAGCAAGAACUAGAACGCUAGUUUUAGCGAUGCAAAUCGCGUUCCAAGGCAAUUUAGAACGUCGAAGAACCGCGUUCUGGGAUGCGCAAUCGAGAUCAUGAUUUGUAGGGGGGAUGAGCAAAUUAGGCAACUAUGGUUAUGAACACACUUGUGGAACCUACAUGUGGAUCCCACAUUUGAUCUUUGUAGUCAACAGUGGACUAGGUUCUUGCUGGAUUUUCUCUCUUUGGAGGGUAGUGCUAGACAUUCUCUAGAAACCAGCUAGUUUUUAUUGUUGUUAAAUUUACUCUUCACACUCAUCAUAUGUAGCAUUUUAGUUCAGUUCUGGUGGCAAUGUCUGGUUAUGUGCCCUAGAGCUAAUGCUAUUACCAACUCAUGGUCUAAAGCACCAUGGUGCUUGGAUUUAACAAAUUCUAGCUGUACUAAUUAACAUUUAGUUGACAACAAAAUUGCAAUUAUUCUGUUUCUGUUCUCUUCUUCUAUCUUUUUGGGUGAGAAUGAGGUGGGGGAGGAUUGUGGAACUGUUUUUGUUGCAACCAAUAAAUUCUAAUGUUUCACCAAAUUUUACAGUUCGGACUUUCUUGGCACCAAC
rnacentral:misc_RNA from 1 species